UGGGGAAUUUUGGACAAUGGGGGAAACCCUGAUCCAGCCAUCCCGCGUGUGCGAUGAAGGCCUUCGGGUUGUAAAGCACUUUUGGCAGGAAAAAAACGUCAUGGGUUAAUACCCCGUGAAACUGACGGUACCUGCAGAAUAAGCACCGGCUAACUACGUGCCAGCAGCCGCGGUAAUACGUAGGGUGCAAGCGUUAAUCGGAAUUACUGGGCGUAAAGCGUGCGCAGGCGGUUCGGAAAGAAAGAUGUGAAAUCCCAGGGCUCAACUUUGGAACUGCAUUAUUAACUACCGGGCUAGAGUGUGUCAGAGGGAGGGGGAAUUCCGCGUGUAGCAGUGAAAUGCGUAGAUAUGCGGAGGAACACCGAUGGCGAAGGCAGCCUCCGGGGAUAACACUGACGCUCAUGCACGAAAACGUGGGGAGCAAACAGG
rnacentral:rRNA from 1 species